GGCUCGGUGGUGAAUGGUCCACACCUGUGUAUCAUGGAAUAAAACGAGUGCUUGCAUGCAGGAGACGCCUGUUCGAUCCAGGCCCGAGCCA